rnacentral:rRNA from 1 species
UACGUAGGGUGCGAGCGUUAAUCGGAAUUACUGGGCGUAAAGCGUGCGCAGGCGGUGAUGUAAGACAGAUGUGAAAUCCCCGGGCUCAACCUGGGACCUGCAUUUGUGACUGCAUCGCUAGAGUACGGCAGAGGGGGAUGGAAUUCCACGUGUAGCAGUGAAAUGCGUAGAUAUGCGGAGGAACACCGAUGGCGAAGGCAAUCCCCUGGGCCUGUACUGACGCUCAUGCACGAAAGCGUGGGGAGCAAACAGG